CUCUGGUACUCUCGACAAAAAACAUGGGCACAUGUACAGACCCGACGGUCUUAUCCUGAGUUUGUUGCCGAAUUUGAUCGAUUGACCCCAGAAGACAUUGUGUGGGAGCUAUAUAGUCCUUCGGCUAUAGCCGCACGUGCACCGCUUGGGAUAUCUUCGGUGUGCACACAGGACCAGGGCCUAUGGAUGACUACUGCAGCUUUGGUGUACGACGUUGCAGUUGAGGCCCACUGCCCGGAUAGAGUCAUGAGGCAAUUCGGUCGACGCCAGUCUUUCCCUGUGUCUUCAGCGUUGGAUCGUGUUCAGCGCCACGAUCAUAGUUUAUCAAGGGCUGGACAUCCUUUCUCGACAAUGUGGGUCACUAGAUUACAACCAUGGGUGGCUGCGUGGGAUGAUGCAGGCGAGCAGUUGGCUGAGGAUACCGGUCCACACACUGAGCC